rnacentral:tRNA from 1 species
GGAUGGGUGCCCGAGUGGUUGAAGGGACCGGUCUUGAAAACCGGCGACGGUUUACGCCGUCCGUGGGUUCGAAUCCCACCUCAUCCG